rnacentral:lncRNA from 1 species
CCAAGGAAGCCAGCCCCUCCCUCUCCUCACUCCCACAGUCAGCUCCCCCCCCCCGGGCAGUCACUCCCCUUUUCUGGCUUUCCAGGGAGAUGGAGAAGUGGGGCUAAACCUUGGGGAUUGCGUGGGGGUAAGCCUCCCAGACGUCAGCCUCGGCUUACAAAGACAUUCUGCCUUUUUUUCCUCCCAUUCCUUGCUUGUGCGUUUUUCCUCCCAAGUAAGGGAAUCAAUUGGAAGACAGAAGAGCUCAGGGCAGGAGACAGGGUUCUGCAUUCCUAGUGGAGUUGUGCAGAGUUCUUCCAUGGAAUUUACCUUGACGGGAUAA